CCUACGUGUGGCAGCAGUGAGGGAUAUUGGUCAAUGGGGGAAACCCUGAACCAGCAACGCCGCGUGAGGGAAGACGGUUCUCGGAUUGUAAACCUCUGUCCUCUGUGAAGAUACUGACGGUAGCAGAGGAGGAAGCUCCGGCUAACUACGUGCCAGCAUCCGCGGUAAUCCGUAGGGCGCAAGCGUUGUCCGGAUUUAUUCGGUGGAAAGGGUGCGUAGGCGGCCGUGCAAGUCAGAAGUGAAAUCCAUGGGCUUAACCCGUGAACUGCUUUUGAAACUGUAGGGCUUGAGUGAAGUAGAGGCAGGCGGAAUUCCUGGUGUAGCGGUGAAAUGCGUAGAGAUCGGGAGGAACACCAGUGGAGAAGGCGGCCUGCUGGGCUUUAACUGACGCUGAGGCACGAAGGCCAGGGGAGCGAAAGGGAUUAGAUACCCUGGUAGUC
rnacentral:rRNA from 1 species